GUAGGGAAUAUUGGGCAAUGGUCGGAAGACUGACCCAGCCAUGCCGCGUGCAGGAAGACGGCCCUCUGGGUUGUAAACUGCUUUUAUCUGGGAAGAAAAAGGCCAUGCGUGGCAAAUUGCCGGUACCAGAUGAAUAAGCACCGGCUAACUCCGUGCCAGCAGCCGCGGUAAUACGGAGGGUGCGAGCGUUGUCCGGAUUUAUUGGGUUUAAAGGGUGCGUAGGCGGCGGAUUAAGUAAGCGGUGAAAGACUUCGGCUUACCCGGAGCAGUGCCGGUGAUACUGGUUGGCUUGAGUGUCGGAGGGGUACAUGGAAUUGAUGGUGUAGCGGUGAAAUGCAGAGAUACCAUCAGGAACACCGAUAGCGAAGGCAUUGUACUGGCCGACAACUGACGCUGAUGCACGAAAGUGUGGGGAUCGAACAGGAUUAGAAACCCUAGUAGUCC
rnacentral:rRNA from 1 species